AUUGAACGCUAGCGGCAUGCUUAACACAUGCAAGUCGAACGAGUGGCGGACGGGUGCGUACUGUAUCGGAACGUGCCCACUAGCGGGGGAUAACUACUGGAAAGCGUAGCUAAUCCCGCAUACUAUUGGAUCUGCCCAGAUCGGAUUAGCUAGUGGGGGGGGUAAAGGCUCACCAAGGCAACGAUCCGUAGCUGGUAUGAGAGGACGACCAGCUAGCCUGGAAGUGAGACACGGUCGAGACUCCUACGGGAGGCAGCAGUGGGGAAUUUUUGACAAGGGGGGAAACCCUGAUCCAGCCAACCCGGGUGUAUGAGAAGGCCUGAGGGUUGUAAAGUACAUUAGGCAGAGAAGCGGUACCCGAAAAAGAAGCACCGGCUAACUACGUGCCAGCAGCCGCGGUAAUAC
rnacentral:rRNA from 1 species